GGUUAAGCGACUAAGCGUACACGGUGGAUGCCUUGGCAGUCAGAGGCGAUGAAGGACGUGCUAACCUGCGAAAAGCUCAGAUGAGGCGGUAAGAGCCACUUGAGUCUGAGAUGUCCGAAUGGGGAAACCCGGCACCAUAAGGUGUCAUCAGUUACUGAAUACAUAGGUAACUGAGGCGAACCUGGGGAACUGAAACAUCUAAGUACCCAGAGGAAAAGAAAUCAACCGAGAUUCCCUUAGUAGCGGCGAGCGAACGGGGAUUAGCCCUUAAGCAUUGAGGAAGUUAGUGGAACAAGCUGGAAAGCUUGGCGACACAGGGUGAUAGCCCCGUACAUGAAAACGACCACAGUGUGAAAUCGAGUAGGACGGGACACGUGUUAUCUUGUCUGAACAUGGGGGGACCAUCCUCCAAGGCUAAAUACUCCUGACUGACCGAUAGUGAACCAGUACCGUGAGGGAAAGGCGAAAAGAACCCCUGUGAGGGGAGUGAAAUAGAACCUGAAACCGUGUACGUACAAGCAGUAGGAGCCCUUCGAGGGUGACUGCGUACCUUUUGUAUAAUGGGUCAGCGACUUACAUUCUGUAGCAAGGUUAACCGAAUAGGGGAGCCGUAGGGAAACCGAGUCUUAACUGGGCGUCAUAGUUGCAGGGUGUAGACCCGAAACCCGGGUGAUCUAGCCAUGGGCAGGUUGAAGGUGCCGUAACAGGUACUGGAGGACCGAACCGACUAAUGUUGCAAAAUUAGCGGAUGACUUGUGGUUAGGGGUGAAAGGCCAAUCAAACCGGGAGAUAGCUGGUUCUCCUCGAAAGCUAUUUAGGUAGCGCCUCGUGUCUCACCAUUGGGGGUAGAGCACUGUUUGGGCUAGGGGGUCAUCCCGACUUACCAACCCCAUGCAAACUCCGAAUACCAAUGAGUGCAAUCACGGGAGACACACGGCGGGUGCUAACGUCCGUCGUGGAGAGGGAAACAACCCAGACCGCCAGCUAAGGUCCCAAAGUUAUCGCUAAGUGGGAAACGAUGUGGGAAGGCUUAGACAGCUAGGAGGUUGGCUUAGAAGCAGCCACCCUUUAAAGAAAGCGUAAUAGCUCACUAGUCGAGUCGGCCUGCGCGGAAGAUGUAACGGGGCUAAGCGAUACACCGAAGCUGCGGAAGCACACUUGUUGUGCUUGGUAGAGGAGCGUUCUGUAAGCGGUUGAAGCGGAAUUGAGAAGUUCCGUGGACGUAUCAGAAGUGCGAAUGCUGACAUGAGUAACGUUAAAGCGGGUGAAAAACCCGCUCGCCGGAAGACCAAGGGUUCCUGUCCAACGUUAAUCGGGGCAGGGUGAGUCGGCCCCUAAGGCGAGGUCGAAAGACGUAGUCGAUGGGAAACGGGUUAAUAUUCCCGUACUGCUGAUUACUGCGAUGGAGAGACGGAGAAGGCUAGGCCAGCACGGCGUUGGUUGUCCGUGUUUAAGGUAGUAGGCGGUGAACUUAGGCAAAUCCGGGUUCACAUAACGCUGAGAGCUGAUGACGAGCCACUACGGUGGUGAAGUGGUUGAUGCCAUGCUUCCAGGAAAAUCUUCUAAGCUUCAGGUAAUUAGCAACCGUACCCCAAACCAACACUGGUGGUCAGGUAGAGAAUACCAAGGCGCUUGAGAGAACUCGGGUGAAGGAACUAGGCAAAAUGGUACCGUAACUUCGGGAGAAGGUACGCUCCUGCCGGUGAUGAGACUUGCUCUCUAAGCUAGUGGGAGUCGCAGAUACCAGGUGGCUGCAACUGUUUAUCAAAAACACAGCACUGUGCAAACUCGUAAGAGGACGUAUACGGUGUGACGCCUGCCCGGUGCCGGAAGGUUAAUUGAUGGGGUUAGUUUUCGGACGAAGCUCUUGAUCGAAGCCCCGGUAAACGGCGGCCGUAACUAUAACGGUCCUAAGGUAGCGAAAUUCCUUGUCGGGUAAGUUCCGACCUGCACGAAUGGCGUAAUGAUGGCCACGCUGUCUCCACCCGAGACUCAGUGAAAUUGAAAUCGCUGUGAAGAUGCAGUGUACCCGCGGCUAGACGGAAAGACCCCGUGAACCUUUACUACAGCUUGGCACUGAACAUUGAACCUACAUGUGUAGGAUAGGUGGGAGGCUUUGAAGCAAUGACGCCAGUCGUUGUGGAGCCGUCCUUGAAAUACCACCCUUGUAUGUUUGAUGUUCUAACGUUGGUCCCUUAUCGGGAUUGCGGACAGUGCCUGGUGGGUAGUUUGACUGGGGCGGUCUCCUCCCAAAGAGUAACGGAGGAGCACGAAGGUUGGCUAAUCAUGGUCGGACAUCAUGAGGUUAGUGCAAAGGCAUAAGCCAGCUUAACUGCGAGACAGACACGUCGAGCAGGUACGAAAGUAGGUCUUAGUGAUCCGGUGGUUCUGAAUGGAAGGGCCAUCGCUCAACGGAUAAAAGGUACUCCGGGGAUAACAGGCUGAUACCGCCCAAGAGUUCAUAUCGACGGCGGUGUUUGGCACCUCGAUGUCGGCUCAUCACAUCCUGGGGCUGAAGUCGGUCCCAAGGGUAUGGCUGUUCGCCAUUUAAAGUGGUACGCGAGCUGGGUUCAGAACGUCGUGAGACAGUUCGGUCCCUAUCUGCCGUGGGCGUUUGAGAAUUGAGAGGGGCUGCUCCUAGUACGAGAGGACCGGAGUGGACGAACCUCUGGUGUUCCGGUUGUCACGCCAGUGGCAUUGCCGGGUAGCUAAGUUCGGAAUCGAUAACCGCUGAAAGCAUCUAAGCGGGAAGCGAGCCUCAAGAUGAGUUCUCACUGACUCCUCGAGAGUCCUAAAGGGCCGUCGAAGACUACGACGUUGAUAGGCAGGGUGUGUAAGCGUUGUGAGGCGUUGAGCUAACCUGUACUAAUGACCCGUGAGGCUUAACCAU
rfam:Ferrimonas balearica DSM 9799, complete genome.